rnacentral:rRNA from 1 species
UACGUAGGGGGCUAGCGUUGUCCGGAAUCAUUGGGCGUAAAGCGCGUGUAGGCGGUUCGGUAAGUCUGCUGUGAAAGCCGGGGGCUCAACCCUCGGAUGCCGGUGGAUACUGUCGGGCUUGAGUACGGAAGAGGCGAGUGGAAUUCCUGGUGUAGCGGUGAAAUGCGCAGAUAUCAGGAGGAACACCAAUUGCGAAGGCAGCUCGCUGGGACGUCACUGACGCUGAGACGCGAAAGCGUGGGGAGCAAACAGG